AGAGAGAGAGAGAGACAGAGACAGAGAGAGAGAGAGAGAGAUUAUAAUGAACACUUUCCGUGUGAAAAUUACACUGGGGUCUGAGGCACGCCGACAACAAAAGCGACGUGCUUGAGAAACAACAGCCACGCUGCUCAUACAUGAGCGGACUGGCUGGGCUGUGGAGGAGGCUGUUCCUCCUCUUCCUCCUGAAACACACACACAGCUACAGUCCCGGCUGCAAAGCCCAAAGACAGAGACUGCAACACACCCGGCACUGACAGCGUAUCUAAUAGGUGUAGGAUGCUGCAGCUGGCUACGCUGUGCCUGUACACACGAGGAUAAAAGCCGAAUCUCUUACUGGCCGUGUUACGAGCAUCUCACAUA